GACGAACGCUGGCGGCGUGCUUAACACAUGCAAGUCGAACGCUGAAGCCUGGCUUUUGUUGGGUGGAUGAGUGGCGAACGGGUGAGUAACACGUGAGUAACCUGCCCUCUUCUUUGGGAUAACGCCCGGAAACGGGUGCUAAUACUGGAUAUUCACUUGCCUUCGCAUGGGGGUGGGUGGAAAGGGUUUUUUCUGGUGGGGGAUGGGCUCGCGGCCUAUCAGCUUGUUGGUGGGGUGAUGGCUUACCAAGGCUUUGACGGGUAGCCGGCCUGAGAGGGUGACCGGUCACAUUGGGACUGAGAUACGGCCCAGACUCCUACGGGAGGCAGCAGUGGGGAAUAUUGCACAAUGGGCGCAAGCCUGAUGCAGCGACGCCGCGUGAGGGAUGGAGGCCUUCGGGUUGUGAACCUCUUUCGCUCAUGGUCAAGCCGCAACUCAUGGUUGUGGUGAGGGUAGUGGGUAAAGAAACGCCGGCUAACUACGUGCCAGCAGCCGCGGUAAUACGUAGGGCGCGAGCGUUGUCCGGAAUUAUUGGGCGUAAAGGGCUUGUAGGCGGUUGGUCGCGUCUGCCGUGAAAUCCUCUGGCUUAACUGGGGGCGUGCGGUGGGUACGGGCUGGCUUGAGUGCGGUAGGGGAGACUGGAACUCCUGGUGUAGCGGUGGAAUGCGCAGAUAUCAGGAAGAACACCGGUGGCGAAGGCGGGUCUCUGGGCCGUUACUGACGCUGAGGAGCGAAAGCGUGGGGAGCGAACAGG
rnacentral:rRNA from 1 species